AGGGAUGCCCAGUAACGGCGAGUGAAGCGGCAAAAGCUCAAAUUUGAAAUCCUGCGGGAAUUGUAAUUUGAAGGUUUCGUGGUCUGAGUCGGCCGCGCCCAAGUCCAUUGGAACAUGGCGCCUGGGAGGGUGAGAGCCCCGUAUGGCGCACGCCGACUCUUUGCACCGCGGCUCCGACGAGUCGAGUUGUUUGGGAAUGCAGCUCUAAGUGGGUGGUAAAUUCCAUCUAAAGCUAAAUAUUGGCGAGAGACCGAUAGCGAACAAGUACAGUGAUGGAAAGAUGAAAAGCACUUUGAAAAGAGAGUGAAACAGCACGUGAAAUUGUUGAAAGGGAAGGGCUUGCAAGCAGACACGGUUUUACCGGGCCAGCGUCAAAUAAACGGGGGGGAAAAGGGGGAAAGAAUGUGGCGCGUGCCUUCGGGUUCGCGUGUUAUAGCUUUCUCUAAUACCCCCAUGUUUGUUUGAGGCCUGCGAUUCUAGGACGCUGGCGUAAUG
rnacentral:rRNA from 1 species